rnacentral:tRNA from 1 species
AGCCCGGUGGUGUAGUGGUCUAGCAUAGCAUGGGCGUUUCGGGCCAGAUUCGCCUAUGGCGCUCCUAGUGGGCUCUGGAUCCCUCUCAUUUGGGGUAGGGGUUACCUGCUGACGGGAGUUCGAAUCUCCCCCGGGCUACCA